ACAAUACUCCCUCCGUCCGAAAAUACUUGUCAUCAAAAUGAAUAAAAGGAGAUGUAUCUAGACGUAUUUUAGUUCUAAAUACAUCCUUUUUUUAUGACCAGUAUUUUCGGACGGAGGAAGUACACA
rnacentral:pre_miRNA from 1 species